UUUAUGGAGAGUUUGAUCCUGGCUCAGGAUGAACGCUGGCGGCGUGCCUAAUACAUGCAAGUCGAGCGAACGGACGAGAAGCUUGCUUCUCUGAUGUUAGCGGCGGACGGGUGAGUAACACGUGGAUAACCUACCUAUAAGACUGGGAUAACUUCGGGAAACCGUAGCUAAUACCGGAUAAUAUUUUGAACCGCAUGGUUCAAAAGUGAAAGACGGUCUUGCUGUCACUUAUAGAUGGAUCCGCGCUGCAUUAGCUAGUUGGUAAGGUAACGGCUUACCAAGGCAACGAUGCAUAGCCGACCUGAGAGGGUGAUCGGCCACACUGGAACUGAGACACGGUCCAGACUCCUACGGGAGGCAGCAGUAGGGAAUCUUCCGCAAUGGGCGAAAGCCUGACGGAGCAACGCCGCGUGAGUGAUGAAGGUCUUCGGAUCGUAAAACUCUGUUAUUAGGGAAGAACAUAUGUGUAAGUAA
rnacentral:rRNA from 1 species